rnacentral:rRNA from 1 species
UAGAGUUUUGAUCCUGGCUCAGGACGAACGCUGGCGGCGUGCUUAACACAUGCAAGUCGAACGAUGAAGCCUUUCGGGGUGGAUUAGUGGCGAACGGGUGAGUAACACGUGGGCAAUCUGCCCUUCACUCUGGGACAAGCCCUGGAAACGGGGUCUAAUACCGGAUAAUACUUUCUCUCUCAUGGGGGAAGGUUAAAAGCUCCGGCGGUGAAGGAUGAGCCCGCGGCCUAUCAGCUAGUUGGUGGGGUAAUGGCCUACCAAGGCGACGACGGGUAGCCGGCCUGAGAGGGCGACCGGCCACACUGGGACUGAGACACGGCCCAGACUCCUACGGGAGGCAGCAGUGGGGAAUAUUGCACAAUGGGCGAAAGCCUGAUGCAGCGACGCCGCGUGAGGGAUGACGGCCUUCGGGUUGUAAACCUCUUUCAGCAGGGAAGAAGCGAAAGUGACGGUACCUGCAGAAGAAGCGCCGGCUAACUACGUGCCAGCAGCCGCGGUAAUACGUAGGGCGCAAGCGUUGUCCGGAAUUAUUGGGCGUAAAGAGCUCGUAGGCGGCUUGUUGCGUCGGUUGUGAAAGCCCGGGGCUUAACCCCGGGUCUGCAGUCGAUACGGGCAGGCUAGAGUGUGGUAGGGGAGAUCGGAAUUCCUGGUGUAGCGGUGAAAUGCGCAGAUAUCAGGAGGAACACCGGG